CUUCUUUUCAACUAGCUCAAAUGGAUAAGGUGCUACCCUCACCACCAGGCGCAUGGUGCCCUCCACCAAAUUCUCCCCUUUCCUUAAUCUUCCAGUCCAGUUCUCCAUCGUCAAGCCUUGCUUGUUCCCCACCUUUCACCAGCCACCGUCCCUGUCCAGCAUCUUGUGCUACAGGGUCCACAGACAAAGACACACGCCUAGCUCAAUCCUUUGGUAGCACCGCUGCCCACGAAACUGUGUUGCUGCCUAAGGCCAAAUCCAACCUCUCCUCCAUGGUCGCUCAGAUGCAUGCCUCCAUUGUCGAUCUGUUCAUUGCGCUGCGGUCCAGAUCCACCAAGCAGUCAAGCUGUUCCGAACUCCGGUGCCUCUAGGACUACAUUGGUGGUGACCUCAUUGUCCUUCUCCACAUGACUUCCUUCAAUCCUGCCUCCAAUGGGCUCCUAUGGAGUGCCUCCCCCCCCCCCCCCAUGAGCCAUGGUUGGACUGCCACUGUGUCAGUCCAUGGUUAUCAGAACAUACAAUUGGUGUAUAAAAUCAGUGAUCAUAUAUGAUGCUGGACAAAUAUGCAUAGAGGGGCCACUCAUUAUGCUGUCAGAUUCAAAGUUUGGACAGGUUUUUGGAACUCAUUAGAUUGCGUGGUUCUCAACCAUAAUGCACGGAAAUAUAAUGCAAUGUCAACUAUCUACAUUUUGUUUAUAGAUUUUCAUUUUUAUUAUGUACAGAUGCAAAUAAGGGGUGUGGGGUGUGCUAAAUAUCAGAGUUGUAUAUGUAUCUCUACUAAGAUCAAGCUGUGUGUGUCUUGUUCACAUGAAUGUCAUACAAUAACAUGUUGAAUGCUCUGAUAAAGAUAUAAUUUACCAUUUCAGACAUUA